GAUGAACGUUGGCGGCGUGCCUAAUACAUGCAAGUCGAACGAAGACUGUAGUAAUACUGUCUUAGUGGCGAACGGGUGAGUAACGCGUGGGUGACCUGCCCCGAAGUGUGGGAUAACAGUCCGAAAGGAUUGCUAAUACUGCAUAAUAUCCAAGAGAUUAGAUGCUUUUUGGAUUAAAGGAGUAAUUCGCUUCGGGAGGGGCCCGCGUCCCAUCAGCUAGUUGGUAAGGUAAUGGCUUACCAAGGCGAUGACGGGUAGGGACCUGAGAGGGUGGCCCCCCAAAUGGAACUGAAACACGGUCCAUACACCUACGGGUGCAGCAGUAGGGAAUAUUAGUAAUGGGCGAAAGCCUGAACUAGCAACGCCGCGUGUGCGAAGAAGGCCUUCGGGUCGUAAAGCACUUUUUGAGAGGAUGAGGAAGGACGGUACUCUCAGAAUAAGUCUCGGCUAACUACGUGCCAGCAGCCGCGGUAAAAUCAACGUGUA
rnacentral:rRNA from 1 species